AGAAAAAAGAACAUAGAAUGUUAGCCUACAGAAAGGUCUUGAAUGACAGAAUUCUAGAAUGUAGAAUAUUAGAACUAGAAGAAGCCUGGGAGAUCACUUUGUUCAAACCCCUCAUCUAACUCAAGAAUAGACUGAGGCCAGGAGAGGGAAAGUUUGCCCAAGGGCACAUAGUUAAGUCACUGAUGGAAUUAGGCAGAUGAAGCUAUUUGGACUUAUUUCAAUUCAAUUAAGAAGCACUGCAGGUCUUUGGUCAGAGCCAGCAGAUUCUGUUCUACUAGUGCCUGGGGAACAGGCCUCUUUCCAGUUACAUACUUGGGGCUCUGAGCUUCAGCUCUCAACACAUUCAGCCCUUGAAACUCCAAGGCCCAAGGUCGGUUAAAGGUGGGGAGAACCAGGCUUGGCCAGCCCUGCAAAAAUGAGGAAAUCAGCCAAUUUUGUCUUCAAGGCCUCCAGCUUCCUCUGCCUGGAAUCUCAGAAUCUGAUGCAGAUGGAGGAGAGAAGUAUCUCAAAGACCUUCCAGAGCCAGCUCCAACUGACUGCUUUGCUCAUAGCAUCUGCUGUUGCUAGGUUGCUUUAUCUUGGCUGCUUGGACCUGCUCUACUCCUCACAGCCAGGGCUAAUUUUCUCUUGAAACCAUAGCUGGUUCUCUUCUCUGCUGCCAGGGAGCACACUGCCCAAGAUUCUCCUGACUCAAUUGUUUCCAGAGCUUUUAAAAGGCCUCCAGAUGCAUGGCCAAUCUUCAUUCAACCAAUGAUGUCCAACAGAGAAAACAUCUUCCUAUUUCUUUAUAACAAAGUGCAGCCAUAUCUCUGUACUUUAUUUAACUGCAUUCCCUUCCAAACAUUAACACAGGGUUAUGUCUAUUAUAUGGCCCUUCUGAAAUCAUUAACCAGGGGGGGUUGACAAAUUAAUCAGAGAUGCUCUGACUCUCCAUCUUCCCCAGGCUCUACGAUAAGAUGCUAUGAUCUUUAAUUCAGUAUCACAGCCUGAAAGAGAGAGAGAAAAAUUAAAAUUUUGAUCAUUAACUAGAAAUCUCUUGUCUCUUUCUUUAGGAUGGAAAGAAAUGAGGGAAGGGAUGCUCCAGAAGAGGGGAUAAGAGAUAGAUAGAUAGAUAGAUAGAUAGAUAGAUAGAUAGAUAGAUAGAUAAAUGGGUGAAUAGAUAGGUAAAUGGAUGGAUAGAUUGAUAGAUAGAUAAUGGAUGGAUGGAUAGAUAGAUAAAUAGAUAAUUAGAUAGAUAGAUGGAUAGAUAGAUGAUAGAUAGAUGGAUAGAUAGAUGGAUGGAUAGAUAGAUAGAUGAUAGAUGGAUAGAUAGAUAGGUGGAUAGAUAGAUGGAUAGAUAGAUGAUAGAUGGAUAGAUAGACAAAUAGAUAGAUAGAUAGAUAGAUAGAUAGAUAGAUAGAUAGAUAGAUGAUAGAUGGAUAGAUAGAUGGAUGGAUAGACAGAUAGAUGAUAGAUGGAUAGAUAGAUAGGUGGAUAGAUGGAUGGAUAGAUAGAUAGGUGGAUAGAUAGAUAGAUAGAUGGAUGGAUAGAAAGAUAGAUGAUAGAUGGAUAGAUAGAUAGGUGGAUAGAUGGAUGGAUAGAUAGAUGAUAGAUGGAUAGAUAGAUGGAUGGAUGGAUAGAUAGGUGGAUAG
ensembl:lncRNA